GGUUGAUUGGUGUAGUGGUAGCACUCCGGAUUUUGACUUCCUGUCAUUCUUACGGCAACCUAAGUUCAAGCCCCAGAUCGACCU